UACGUAGGCAGCGAGCGUUGUUCGGAGUUACUGGGCGUAAAGAGUGCGUAGGCGGUUUUCUAAGUUUGGUGUGAAAUCUCCCGGCUUAACUGGGAGGGUGCGCCGAAAACUGGAAGGCUUGAGUAUGGGAGAGGUAAGCGGAAUUCCUGGUGUAGCGGUGAAAUGCGUAGAUAUCAGGAGGAACACCAAUAGCGAAGGCAGCUCGCUGGGACGUUACUGACACUGAGGCGCGAAAGCGUGGGGAGCGAACAGG
rnacentral:rRNA from 1 species